rnacentral:misc_RNA from 1 species
GAUGAAGAACGCAGCGAAAUGCGAUACGUAAUGUGAAUUGCAGAAUUCAGUGAAUCAUCGAAUCUUUGAACGCAUAUUGCGCUCUCUGGUAUUCCGGAGAGCAUGCUUGUUUGAGUAUCAGUAAACACCUCAACUCCCUUUUCUUUUUUGAAAUUGGAGCUGGACUUGAGUGAUCCCAACGCUUUCUUCCAAGAAAGUGGCGGGUUGCUUGAAAUGCAGGUGCAGCUGAACUUUUCUCUGAGCUAUAAGCAUAUCUAUUUAGUCUGCCUAAAAAACAGAUUAUUACCUUUGCUGCAGCUAACAUAAAGGAGACUAGUUCUUGUGCUGACUGAUGCAGGAUUCACAGAGACAGCUUCGGCUGACUUUGUAAACUCGAUCUCAAAUCAAGUAAGACUACCCGCUAAACUUAAGCAUAUCAAUAAGCGGAGGA